rnacentral:rRNA from 1 species
UACGAAGGUGGCAAGCGUUUGUUCGGAUUUACUGGGCGUAAAGGGAGCGUAGGUGGUUAGGUAAGCCCUCCGGGAAAUCUUCAGGCUUAACCUGAAAAGGUCGGGGGGGACUGCCUGGCUAGAGGACGGGAGAGGAGCGCGGAAUUCCCGGUGUAGCGGUGAAAUGCGUAGAUAUUGGGAGGAACACCAGUGGCGAAGGCGGCUCACUGGACCGGUACUGACGCUGAUGCGCGAAAGCGUGGGGAGCAAACGGG